rnacentral:tRNA from 1 species
GACUUCGUAGCUCAGCUGAUAGAGCGUUCACCGCGAUGAGUCAUGCCGUUUCUGUCGCUGGUUCGGAUCCAGCCGAAGCCG